AAUAGAUAAAUAUAUUUCCUAGUCUCUUUUAAAGUAUACAGAGAAGAUUGGCAUGAUCCUUCACAAGGAUGACAUGCAAAUUUGUGAGAUUUUCCUUUUUUUU